rnacentral:rRNA from 1 species
AGUGAACGCUGGCGGUAGGCCUAACACAUGCAAGUCGAACGGCAGCACAGUAAGAGCUUGCUCUUACGGGUGGCGAGUGGCGGACGGGUGAGGAAUACAUCGGAAUCUACUUUUUCGUGGGGGAUAACGUAGGGAAACUUACGCUAAUACCGCAUACGACCUACGGGUGAAAGCAGGGGAUCUUCGGACCUUGCGCGAUUGAAUGAGCCGAUGUCGGAUUAGCUAGUUGGCGGGGUAAAGGCCCACCAAGGCGACGAUCCGUAGCUGGUCUGAGAGGAUGAUCAGCCACACUGGAACUGAGACACGGUCCAGACUCCUACGGGAGGCAGCAGUGGGGAAUAUUGGACAAUGGGCGCAAGCCUGAUCCAGCCGUACCGCGUGGGUGAAGAAGGCCUUCGGGUUGUGAAGCCCUUUUGUUGGGAAAGAAAAGCAGCAGGUUAAUACCCCGCUGUUCUGACGGUACCCAAAGAAUAAGCACCGGCUAACUUCGUG